GACGAACGCUGGCGGCGUGCCUAAUACAUGCAAGUAGAACGCUGAAGAGAGGAGCUUGCUCUUCUUGGAUGAGUUGCGAACGGGUGAGUAACGCGUAGGUAACCUGCCUGGUAGCGGGGGAUAACUAUUGGAAACGAUAGCUAAUACCGCAUAAAAUUGAUUAUUGCAUGAUAAUUAAUUGAAAGAUGCAACUGCAUCACUACCAGAUGGACCCGCGUUGUAUUAGCUAGUUGGUGAGGUAACGGCUCACCAAGGCGACGAUACAUAGCCGACCUGAGAGGGUGAUCGGCCACACUGGGACUGAGACACGGCCCAGACUCCUACGGGAGGCAGCAGUAGGGAAUCUUCGGCAAUGGGGGGAACCCUGACCGAGCAACGCCGCGUGAGUGAAGAAGGUUUUCGGAUCGUAAAGCUCUGUUGUAAGAGAAGAACGGGUGUGAGAGUGGAAAGUUCACACUGUGACGGUAUCUUACCAGAAAGGGACGGCUAACUACGUG
rnacentral:rRNA from 1 species